rnacentral:tRNA from 1 species
GGAGAGGUGUCCGAGAGGCCGAAGGAGCACGCCUGGAAAGUGUGUAUAGUGCAAGCUAUCGAGGGUUCGAAUCCCUCCCUCUCCGCCA